rnacentral:tRNA from 1 species
GAGGCUUUAGCUUAAUUAAAGUACCUGUUUUGCAUACAGGUGAUGUGGGUUAAUAUCCUGCAAGUCUUA